rnacentral:misc_RNA from 1 species
UUGGAAUACACUGAGAUUUUGAAGAUGCGAGGGCUCCCAUUCUCUGUGAAAAAACCUCAAAUAAUUGAAUUUUUUAAAGAAUUCAAGCUGAUUGAAGAGAGGAUACACAUUGCAUGCCGCCCAGAUGGGAAAGCAACUGGAGAAGCAUAUGUGGAGUUUGUUUCUGUUGAGGAAGCUAAAAGAGCCAUGAACAAAGAUAAGAUGACAAUUGGGUCAAGGUAUGUUGAGUUGUUUCCUUCAACACCAGAUGAAGCUAGAAGAGCUGAGUCAAGAUCAAGGCAGUGAAGAGUCAGAGGUGGCUGGAGAAUUUUGUGCUGACUGUUGUUCACUUCCAUCUUUACAUGAAUCAGUUGAGAUACUAAAACUACUAGCUUGCAGAAAAAAAAAGUUAUGCAAAACAUAAUCACAACGUCACUUGUCCCCAUAUUAAAACUCAAAUACAACAUUCAAAAAACAGGUAUAUGAAUAUUUUAUGCAUAACACUAGAAAGUGGUAAGCUUUAGCAUCUCAAC